rnacentral:rRNA from 1 species
GAUGAACGCUGGCGGCGUGCCUAAUACAUGCAAGUCGAGCGAACAGACGAGGAGCUUGCUCCUCUGACGUUAGCGGCGGACAGGUGAGUAAAACGUGGAUAACCUACCUAUCAGACUGGGAUACCUUCGGGAAUACGGAGCUAAUACCGGAUAAUAUAUUGCACCGCAUGGUUCAAUAGUAAAAGACAGUUUUGCUGUCACUUAUAGAUGGAUAAGCGCCGCAUUAGCUAGUUGGUAAGGUAACGGCUUACCAAGGCAACGAUGGGUAGCCGACCUGAGAGGGUGAUUGACCACACGGGAACAGAGACACGGUCCAGACUCUGACGGGAGGCAGCAGUAGGGAAUCUUCCGCAAUGGGCGAAAGCCGGACGGUGCAACGCCGCGUGAGUGAUGAAGGUCUGCGGAUGGUAAAACUCUGUAAGUAGGGAAGAACAAAUGUGUAAGUAACUAUGCACGUCUUGACGGUACCUAAUCAGAAAGCCACGGCUAACUACGUG